GUUUGGUUAAGUUAGAAAGGGCGCACGGUGGAUGCCUUGACACUAGGAGUCGAUGAAGGACGGGACUAACGCCGAUAUGCUUCGGGGAGCUGUAAGUAAGCUUUGAUCCGAAGAUUUCCGAAUGGGGAAACCCACUAUACGUAAUGGUAUGGUAUCUUUACCUGAAUACAUAGGGUAUGGAAGACAGACCCAGGGAACUGAAACAUCUAAGUACCUGGAGGAAGAGAAAGCAAAUGCGAUUUCCUGAGUAGCGGCGAGCGAAACGGAACAUAGCCCAAACCAAGAGGCUUGCCUCUUGGGGUUGUAGGACAUUCUAUACGGAGUUACAAAGGAACGAGGUAGACGAAGCGACCUGGAAAGGUCCGUCGUAGAGGGUAACAACCCCGUAGUCGAAACUUCGUUCUCUCUUGAAUGUAUCCUGAGUACGGCGGAACACGUGAAAUUCCGUCGGAAUCUGGGAGGACCAUCUCCCAAGGCUAAAUACUCCCUAGUGAUCGAUAGUGAACCAGUACCGUGAGGGAAAGGUGAAAAGCACCCCGGAAGGGGAGUGAAAGAGAUCCUGAAACCGUGUGCCUACAAAUAGUCAGAGCCCGUUAAUGGGUGAUGGCGUGCCUUUUGUAGAAUGAACCGGCGAGUUACGAUCCCGUGCGAGGUUAAGCUGAAGAGGCGGAGCCGCAGCGAAAGCGAGUCUGAAUAGGGCGUUUAGUACGUGGUCGUAGACCCGAAACCAGGUGAUCUACCCAUGUCCAGGGUGAAGUUCAGGUAACACUGAAUGGAGGCCCGAACCCACGCACGUUGAAAAGUGCGGGGAUGAGGUGUGGGUAGCGGAGAAAUUCCAAUCGAACCUGGAGAUAGCUGGUUCUCCCCGAAAUAGCUUUAGGGCUAGCCUUAAGUGUAAGAGUCUUGGAGGUAGAGCACUGAUUGAACUAGGGGUCCUCAUCGGAUUACCGAAUUCAGUCAAACUCCGAAUGCCAAUGACUUAUCCUUAGGAGUCAGACUGCGAGUGAUAAGAUCCGUAGUCAAGAGGGAAACAGCCCAGAUCGCCAGCUAAGGUCCCAAAGUGUGUAUUAAGUGGAAAAGGAUGUGGAGUUGCUUAGACAACUAGGAUGUUGGCUUAGAAGCAGCCACCAUUUAAAGAGUGCGUAAUAGCUCACUAGUCGAGUGACUCUGCGCCGAAAAUGUACCGGGGCUAAAUACACCACCGAAGCUGCGAAUUGAUACCGAUGGUAUCAGUGGUAGGGGAGCGUUCUAAGUGCAGUGAAGUCAGACCGGAAGGACUGGUGGAGCGCUUAGAAGUGAGAAUGCCGGUAUGAGUAGCGAAAGACGGGUGAGAAUCCCGUCCACCGAAUGCCUAAGGUUUCCUGAGGAAGGCUCGUCCGCUCAGGGUUAGUCAGGACCUAAGCCGAGGCCGACAGGCGUAGGCGAUGGACAACAGGUUGAUAUUCCUGUACCACCUCUUUAUCGUUUGAGCAAUGGAGGGACGCAGAAGGAUAGAAGAAGCGUGCGAUUGGUUGUGCACGUCCAAGCAGUUAGGCUGAUAAGUAGGCAAAUCCGCUUAUCGUAAGGCUGAGCUGUGAUGGGGAAGCUCCUUAUGGAGCGAAGAUCUUUGAUUCCCCGACUGCCAAGAAAAGCUUCYUAGCGAGAUAAAAGGUGCCUGUACCGCAAACCGACACAGGUAGGCGAGGAGAGAAUCC
rnacentral:rRNA from 1 species